GAUUAGUUGGACUGCGUGGUGUCUCUUUUAUACUGCGACCACAGAAAUGAAAUUAGUGUCUCGGCAAGAUAAUAAUGGAGGAAACCAAGCAGGGAAAACACCCAAAGAGAAUCAGCGUAGGCAGCAGCGAAAGGGCCGGUUUGACGCCUACAAAGGUCGUUGCGCAGCUAGCAGCAAAGCUAACAUCGACUCCGCCACCUUGCAUGUGCCCUUUUCAUCAUGCACACGCACCAGGCUAUUUUAAAGCACCCCUGAGCAUUACUAUUUGUGACGGAUCCGGCCAGCGCCGAGCAUUUCCCAGACGGCCGGUGUAAAUGGUUUCUCCUUUCAUCGAGAUGACAGCUGAGCCAGUCGGCGGACACUUCCGACUACAAGCCCCGCCUUGAAUAGUAUCAGGGAGCCAAUGAGCGUUAGAAUCACCAUAGUCCCGUCCAGUCAUUCCUCUCUCUUCGAUCCGAUUGGAUAUUUUUUGUGUAGCCGCGCCUCCAGCACGCCUAUAUUCAAUGAAUGGCACGUGUUCUCCUCCCAAAUAAGGAUGCAUUGAAAUCAAUGGGAGGAGUUGUUGAGACCACCAAUAAUCAUCAAAAUGUAGAUAUACCCUGCAGCAGCAACAGCCCAACUCGGGAACGACCUCCAAGCGGCGUUGGGCGUGCCUUCGGGCUCCGAACAGUUCUCAGUCAACAGGGUCUGCAGGUUCCCGGGUCGCUGUGGCUUUUGGAGCCGCUUUGGGACCCAGUUGGAGGUUGCUCAACAGCAGCAGCAGCAGCAGCAGCAGCAGCUCUGUGCUGAAUCACGUCAGACCAGCAAAUUCACCACCUCAUGACACCAGAACUCUUUUAUUGUUCUUUUUAUUUUUUAAUCUUUUUUUUAUAAGUCGAAAACCCUACUGUGUACAUUUUGCUGGUCUUGAUUUUCACGUUCACUCUCACUCCAACAGAGAAGGCCAUCAAAUGGGGGCCCUGUGUUAUAUUAUUCCAGUGGGAGUAAGAUGAUUUGUGUUAAACCUGUUCAACCAAAACAAGCUCAUGUCACCAGUUCGAGUAGGAGUUAUUGGUGAUGGCUAGUCUGACCAAAUUUGAAUGCCUUUGCAAUUCUGUAACAGUGCUUUGAACGUUGACCUGAUAUAAGACACAAGUAGAAUGUCUAUUUGAGUAUACAAAACUUUCAUAUGACAGGAUUAAUUCAUAGAGGAGGAUUUUUUUUCAGCUACAUUGCCUCCUCAGUAUGUUUACCAUUUGCAAUACCAGACCCAUCCCUCAUUUGUGUCCUCUCUAAGCUGCACUCACCACCCAACCCACUCUCCUGUGCUGCAGGGCCUGUUGGGGUGGUUUAACAACACCUUGAGCUUGAGUUUAUGGUUUCUUUUAAGAACUAACAAGCUGGAGGUCCAGGUGCUUCCUGGUUGAACAUUCACAAGCACAUACAAAAAGUUGUUAUUUGUAUCUGAAUCUUUAUCUGAAUAAAAUGGGAAAUCUGUGGCAAAUCUAAGUAUA